CGAGAAUCUUCGGCAAUGGGCGAAAGCCUGACCGAGCGACGCCGCGUGUGCGAUGAAGGCCUUCGGGUUGUAAAGCACUGUCGUGGGGGAGAAAGCCGCAAGGCUUGAUCGACCCCAGGAGGAAGCACGGGCUAAGUUCGUGCCAGCAGCCGCGGUAAGACGAACCGUGCGAACGUUAUUCGGAAUCACUGGGCUUAAAGGGCGCGUAGGCGGGCCGGCAAGUCCGGGGUGAAAGCCCCCAGCUCAACUGGGGAAGUGCCUCGGAUACUGCCGGCCUCGAGGGAGGUAGGGGCGUGCGGAACUUCCGGUGGAGCGGUGAAAUGCGUAGAUAUCGGAAGGAACACCGGUGGCGAAAGCGGCGCGCUGGACCUCUUCUGACGCUGAGGCGCGAAAGCCAGGGGAGCGAACGGGAUUAGAUACCCCGGUAGUCCUGGCCCUAAACGUUGGGUACUAGGUUGUGGACUUACAUGGGUUCACAGCCGAAGCAAAAGUAUUUAGUACCCCGCCUGGGGAGUAUGGUCGCAAGGCUG
rnacentral:rRNA from 1 species